CUGCCAUUGAAGAGUCCCACAAUAGGACGAAACGGCAGUCCAGUAU
rnacentral:hammerhead_ribozyme from 1 species